rnacentral:rRNA from 1 species
UGAUGCAUUAACGCUGGUAUGAUCGCAUCUGAUCCCAUUAGAACUCUGCAGUUAAGCGCACUUGGGCUAGAGUAGUACCGGGAUGGGUGACCUCCCGGUAAUAUCUUCAAAUACUUUGG